rnacentral:rRNA from 1 species
UNUGACUUGAGUGCAGAAGGGGAGAGUGGAAUUCCAUGUGUAGCGGUGAAAUGCGUAGAUAUAUGGAGGAACACCAGUGGCGAAAGCGGCUCUCUGGUCUGUCACUGACGCUGAGGCUCGAAAGCGUGGGUAGCGAACAGGAUUAGAUACCCUGGUAGUCCACGCCGUAAACGAUGAGUGCUAGGUGUUAGGCCCUUUCCGGGGCUUAGUGCUGGAGCUAACGCAAUAAGCACUCCGCCUGGGGAGUACGACCGCAAGGUUGAAACUCAGAGGAAUUGACGGGGGCCCGCACAAGCGGUGGAGCAUGUGGUUUAAUUCGAAGCAACGCGAAGAACCUUACCAGGUCUUGACAUCCCGAUGCUAUUCUUAGAGAUAGGAAGUUACUUCGGUACAUCGGAGACAGGUGGUGCAUGGUUGUCGUCAGCUCGUGUCGUGAGAUGUUGGGUUAAGUCCCGCAACGAGCGCAACCCUUAUUGUUAGUUGCCAUCAUUAAGUUGGGCACUCUAGCGAGACUGCCGGUAAUAAACCGGAGGAAGGUGGGGAUGACGUCAAAUCAUCAUGCCCCUUAUGACCUGGGCUACACACGUGCUACAAUGGUCGGUACAACGAGUUGCGAGCCGGUGACGGCAAGCUAAUCUCUGAAAGCCGAUCUCAGUUCGGAUUGGAGGCUGCAACUCGCCUCCAUGAAGUCGGAAUCGCUAGUAAUCGCGGAUCAGCACGCCGCGGUGAAUACGUUCCCGGGCCUUGUACACACCGCCCGUCACACCACGAGAGUUUGUAACACCCGAAGUCGGUGAGGUANCCUUUUAGGG